rnacentral:rRNA from 1 species
AUGAACCAUGUGGUUGAUAGGAUGGAUGGACAUUUACAGUGUACAGAUUCUUCAGUUCAAAUAACCUGGGCUUCUAGUGCAUCUAAGUCUUGUUUGUAUAGAAACAGGAGAUUGUGGGUUUUCACUCAACAAUCAACAGUCAACGAUCAACAGCCAAAUCCAGCAGCAGGAACUCCAUUGCUAUCGACAAGAAUCGCAGGUGUACGUGUGCCUAUUAUCACAGGAACUCCACUGCUGCGAGUGGUGAAUCGGGACAAAAAAGGGGAAAUUUUUGCAUCACCGGAGCAUAAUGGAAGGGACAGAGAGGGAUGGGGGCUUGAGGAGAUACCAUCCCUGACGCCGGAGAGGAGGCUGCGUCCUUGUUGGUGA